CCGCGUUCAGCAUCUCAACCCUUGUGCCGGCGAGAGCAGGGCUGAGUUUCUUUCUCUCAAUAGCACAAAAUCUCCCGUGUCGGCAGAAGAAGGGGCAAGCUCAGAGCUGGCCCUGGGGGUGAGCUGACAGAAGACCUAAGCGGUGGAAGUAAGUUCAAGGACUCAACGGGUCCAUAAAGCUUCCCAUUGCCCCGUUCUGUUCUUUCUUUUCAGUCUCUACCUGCAAACAUUCAUUUUCUCGCUGGAUAAGUCACUGUCCCUCCCCGCUGUCAGCCUGGCGCUGGAGGCGUAACCCAUCCUUCUCCAGCCCUAGGAAGGACCCAGUUCAAAGGCUGCACACCAGGCUCCGGGCUGGGGAUGGUAUUACAGUAAUCAGAGAAACCGAGGUCAGCCAGCUUGUAAAACUGCCUGAGCCGGUCGUCUGUGUGCUGCGCUUGCGAGACUGACAGAAAGGUCAGUCUUUCUAGCAAGAAACUUAGUAACAAGAAGAAAAACGAGGCCUUAUGAUGAUCCCAUGACUGGAGCAAAAGCAGAGGCUGCACGAUGGUUGCUGCUGCUGGUGGUUGCCCCUCGCCUGCUGCUACAGCGAAGCCUGCGUGCCAGCCGGCUCCCUGAAGAAGAGAAGCCCCGCUCGGACACAGACUGUGCUCGGUGCAGGUACCAGCGCAACGUGUGGGCGCAGCGAAAAGCCGUCUCGGGUAUUUCACAUCCCUGCUCCUACCUGCCUCCCUCCCUCCACCUCUGCGCCUGCGCUGGUGACUAGCUGAAAGAAAGAAAACCCGAUAGUCAGAGCUGCUUAAUUUUAAAUUGUCCUUUGCGGUGUCUCUCUCACCUACUCCGGUACGUCAAGCAAUUCAAGCCAGGGUUAUAGCGAAGAACAGGAAGGAAAUUUAAGAUGUUGGUCCCCAGCUGUCGGAGCCACGCUGCUGUGGUCCUUCUUCCCCCCACCCUCCAGCUGCAUGUUCCUGCCUCGUCUCUUGACCCGGCAGUGAUGCUUGAUGCAUGCUGGUUCAGGGGGUAAAACUAGCAGAAAACCGGCAUUAAGAAGAAGGGACAAAUUUCUGCUGGUUUAGCUGAGCAGGCUCAAAUCAGACUGGACAAACUAUUUAACUGCGCUAAGGUGCGUCCUUAGAGCACAGGUAAGGGCCAGGGGCCAUGCAAGGGCAGUGAAGCCUUUUCCUCUAAACCCCUGGAAGGAUAAAUUCCCACAGCGAAGAGACCCUCCCUUUGCUUCCCAUGGAAAGGAUAACCUUUUUUUUUCUUCGGUGAAUCUGUUUUUGAUUGUGUUUUCCCUCCCGAGGACUGGGGGUUUAUUUUCUUGACAAGUUGAUUUCUCGAAUUCAUUGUGUGCUGCAGGGCACAGAAGAUUUAAUCUCACAAGAGAGAUGCCCGGUAACGUAAAGCAAUGAUGUAAUGCCACCCAGCUCCCCCAUCGGGUCCUCCAGGGGAGAAAUAUCUACCUGAAACUUCUCCAGCUUCUUGACUGAUCAUAUUCAAACUCCGAUUUAUUUAUCUCUCUGUUUUGCAUAUCUCCAUCUGCACCGCUUCUCGCACAUCUCCAUGGAGAUGAAGAAACAAGGCUGGAUAAUGCCAUUCUGGCGUUGCCCAGCCGCUGACACGGGUCCCACCAGAUGCUGCACAACCGGGCGCAGAAACCAGCACCCACCCCAGGAGAUCCCAGCGGGGACCUGGUCCAGCUGCUCCUGCACAGCUGGCCGCUAAAGACAGGAUUUCUAAAUGAGCCCGAGAAUUACACAUGCAAAUCCCAAAGGCCUAGAAUUGGGAACAUCUGAGCAACAAUUUGUCCUUGCUAAAGACGGCGUUGGAGCCAAAAGGCUACAGAUUUCAGGCCUGUUAGACCGGGCAGCAUCCCUGCCUCCAGCUACCAACCCAUCUGCCAGCACCGGGCUCUGCGGUCAGGUUUUGUCCCCGUGGCUGGACAGACAGAUUUCUGCCGGGCCGGGAGGCUGCACCUGGUGCUGCCCAGCACCGUGAGUUGCAGAAUUGCUGUUCUGUGCAGGCAUUUGGAGAUCGGGUGCCGUUGCUGAUUUAACUACGGGCCAGAGCCUGCGACGAGGUUUGGUGAACAAACUGGGGGGGGACCGGGGAGAGAUGACUUUACUCGGUAGGGAGACGACAUUUUAAUUUGACUCAUUCCUGUCUCACUAUGACUGUUUGACCAGCAACACGGGGGUUUUGGUGUGCCAACAGCCCCUAGAUUCCCCCUACCUUACCUAGAUACCUGUAUAUUCCCACCCCCACAUUACCCGAAAGGAGGGUAAUGUGAAAUUUUCACCCUGCUCCCAGUGAUGCAAAGGGUUUCGUUAUCAGUGGGUUAAAUCCAUCUUGGUCUUUCCCUGUGGGCUGCCU